GGAGUCAACGCACUUACCCCUCUCCUCACACGUUCUGUUCAUGCCCGAUCCCCUCCUUCCCACCUUCUUCCUCCUGCACAGCCUCCUCCCACCUCCCCUCCACCUUCCACUGCCGGCGACGCCAGGGGCUCGUGCCUCCGAUGCCAGAGCCGUACUGCCGCCUGUCUAUCUCUUUUGCCCUGCCAACCCACCACCCCGGAGCGAGAUGCGCGCGGCUCCCCCGUGCCCGGCGACCUUCCCCCGCCGGCGCCGCCCUCCCCCGAUCCACUUUCUUUCCCCGCUGGCGCCGCCCUGCCCCAAUCCACCUUCUUCCCUCGCCGGUGUCGCCCUCCCCCGAUCCAUCUAUUUCCCCUUCCCUAGGCAUCGCCGAACUUCCCCUCGCCUCGAUCUGCAGCGACGCAGACGAUUGGUAGUAGGGCGCGCCGCCCUUCCCCUCCCCUCGAAUUUUUGGGGCGCCAAGACCCAGCGCGAUCUCGGCGGCGCCGUGGCACAGCCACUGUCUACCGGCGGCGACAUGUCCCCCGAGCUCCCCCUGCCUCCCUGCGGUCAUCCUCUUCCUGUCGGGAUCACCGCCUCUUGAUGCCGACCAGGUCGAGGAGUUGUCCCGCAGUGGUGGCCGCCAAGGCUUCGCCUCCUCUGGAUCCGGCGGCCAUGGCCUCCGCCGUCUCAUCUGCUGCUUCCCGCGGCUGUAGCUCAUGAAGAAGACGGCGACUAUGGUGGCGACGCCUCCCGCCCAAGGAGGAGCAGGGCAGCAGUGUGGGGGCGAAGGAUGGCGGCAGGAAGGGCGGGCCCAGAUGCAGGGUGAUGCUGCCCUGCGUUGUCGCCGCCGGUGUGCAGUUUAGCUCUCCCUCCUCACCCAUGCAGUUCGCCCCCUGCAUGCUGCUGUUUUUUUUUUUUUUGAGGUCACUUCGUCCACAUUGCAGGUGCUUCGACGGGCGACCUGCAGUUCGCCCAGCGGCCACCACGAGCCCGCGACGUCCGACAUGCUGCAGUUUUGGGUUGAUGUUGAAUUGAACGGCGCUGAAGGCCCCGUGCAGUCUGGUGUGGCGUAAGCAUGCAGAACGGGCGGUGGCGAGGUAGCUCCUGUAGUUCCUGUAUGCGGCGUGUGCGGUUUGUUUGCAGCCCAUGUGCACGAUGCAUGCAGGUCGUGUGUGUGUGUGUGUGUCAAUGUUCUGUUCGCUGGGAAACUACAGAAGAAAAAUGAUCAAUUUUUUAAGUUCACUUUCUUCUUGAAUGUGUGAGAGAAAAUGUAAAAAUUUAUUUGUGUGAGAGAGAAAUGUCUCUCGCGCGGUUCGUGUGUGAAGUUUUGUAUGUAUUCUUUUAUUUGUAGAAAAGGUGUCUGGUUCAUUU